rnacentral:rRNA from 1 species
UGGGGAAUAUUGCACAAUGGAGGGAACUCUGAUGCAGCGACGCCGCGUGAACGAAGAAGGCUUUCGAGUCGUAAAGUUCUUUUAUAUGGGAAGAUAAUGACGGUACCAUAAGAAAAAGCCCCGGCUAACUACGUGCCAGCAGCCGCGGUAAUACGUAGGGGGCUAGCGUUGUCCGGAAUCACUGGGCGUAAAGGGUUCGCAGGCGGAAAUGCAAGUCAGGUGUAAAAGGCAGUAGCUUAACUACUGUAAGCAUUUGAAACUGCAUAUCUGGAGAAGAGUAGAGGUAAGUGGAAUUUUUAGUGUAGCGGUGAAAUGCGUAGAUAUUAAAAAGAAUACCGGUGGCGAAAGAGACUUAAUGGGCUCAUUCUGACGCUGAGGAACGAAAGCGUGGGUAGCAAACAGG